GAUGAACGCUGGCGGCGUGCCUAAUACAUGCAAGUCGAGCGAACAGACGAGGAGCUUGCUCCUCUGACGUUAGCGGCGGACGGGUGAGUAACACGUGGAUAACCUACCUAUAAGACUGGGAUAACUUCGGGAAACCGGAGCUAAUACCGGAUAAUAUAUCGAACCGCAUGGUUCAAUAGUGAAAGACGCUUUUGCUGUCACUUAUAGAUGGAUCCGCGCCGCAUUAGCUAGUUGGUAAGGUAACGGCUUACCAAGGCAACGAUGCGUAGCCGACCUGAGAGGGUGAUCGGCCACACUGGAACUGAGACACGGUCCAGACUCCUACGGGAGGCAGCAGUAGGGAAUCUUCCGCAAUGGGCGAAAGCCUGACGGAGCAACGCCGCGUGAGUGAUGAAGGUCUUCGGAUCGUAAAACUCUGUUAUUAGGGAAGAACAAAUGUGGAAGUAACUAUGCACGUCUUGACGGUACCUAAACAGAAAGCCACGGCUAACUACGUG
rnacentral:rRNA from 1 species